CGAUCCGCCCUGUGCCAAGCAGCCGCGGUAAUUCCAGCUCCAAUAGCGUAUAUUAAAGUUGUUGCAGUUAGAACGCUCGUAGUCGGAUUUCGGGGCGGUCCGACCGGUCUGCCGAUGGGUACGCACUGGUCGGAGCGUCCUUCCUGCCGGAGACCGUGCCUACUCUUAACUGAGCGGGGGCGGGAGACGGCACUUUUACUUUGAAAAAAUCAGAGUGUUUCAAGCAGGCAGCUCGCUCUUGCAUGGAUUAGCAUGGGAUAAUGAAAUAGGACUUUGGUGCUAUUUUGUUGGUUUCGAACACCGAAGUAAUGAUGAGAAGGGACAGUCAGGGGCACUCGUAUUCCGCCGAGAGAGGUGAAAUUCUCAGACCAGCGGAAGACGAACCACUGCGAAAGCAUUUGCCAGGGAUGUUUUCACUGAUCAAGAACGAAAGUUAGGGGAUCGAAGACGAUCAGAUACCGUCGUAGUCUUAACCAUAAACCAUGCCGACUAGGGAUUGGAGGAUGUUCACUGAUUGACUCCUUCAGCACCUUACGGGAAACUAAAGUCUUUGGGUUCCGGGGGGAGUAUGGUCGCAAGGCUGAAACUUAAAGGAAUUGACGGAAGGGCACCACCAGGUGUGGAGCCUGCGGCUUAAUUUGACUCAACACGGGGAAACUUACCAGGUCCAGACAUUGUGAGGAUUGACAGAUUGAGAGCUCUUUCUUGAUUUAAUGGGUGGUGGUGCAUGGCCGUUCUUAGUUGGUGGAGUGAUUUGUCUGGUUAAUUCCGUUAACGAACGAGACCUUAGCCUGCUAAAUAGUGACGCGAACUCUUUGUUCGCGGGCCACUUCUUAGAGGGACAACUUGUCUUCAACAAGUGGAAGUUUGAUGCAUCAAUCAGUACUGUGAUG
rnacentral:rRNA from 1 species